rnacentral:rRNA from 1 species
AUGUCUACUUGGAGGUUGUGCCCUUGAGGCGUGGCUUCCGGAGCUAACGCGUUAAGUAGACCGCCUGGGGAGUACGGCCGCAAGGUUAAAACUCAAAUGAAUUGACGGGGGCCCGCACAAGCGGUGGAGCAUGUGGUUUAAUUCGAUGCAACGCGAAGAACCUUACCUGGUCUUGACAUCCACAGAAGAAUCCAGAGAUGGAUUUGUGCCUUCGGGAACUGUGAGACAGGUGCUGCAUGGCUGUCGUCAGCUCGUGUUGUGAAAUGUUGGGUUAAGUCCCGCAACGAGCGCAACCCUUAUCCUUUGUUGCCAGCGAUUAGGUCGGGAACUCAAAGGAGACUGCCAGUGAUAAACUGGAGGAAGGUGGGGAUGACGUCAAGUCAUCAUGGCCCUUACGACCAGGGCUACACACGUGCUACAAUGGCGCAUACAAAGAGAAGCGACCUCGCGAGAGCAAGCGGACCUCAUAAAGUGCGUCGUAGUCCGGAUUGGAGUCUGCAACUCGACUCCAUGAAGUCGGAAUCGCUAGUAAUCGUGGAUCAGAAUGCCACGGUGAAUACGUUCCCGGGCCUUGUACACACCGCCCGUCACACCAUGGGAGUGGGUUGCAAAAGAAGUAGGUAGCUUAACCUUCGGGAGGGCGCUUACCACUUUGUGAUUCAUGACUGGGGUGAAGUCGUAACAAGGUAACCGUAGGGGAACCUGCGGUUGGA